GUCUUGCACAGGCCAGCUUCGUUUGCGACCUCGCAGCCUUGACCCGAGCUCUCGCAGAGGCCGCCGGCAUUUGUAGCCGAGCUGCUGCAGUCUGGCGGGCGCUGGAGGCAGAGGUGGGGGCCCCCACAGCCCCACUUUCCUCUCCUGCAGCGGCGCGAGGAAGAGGAAGCUCCACGAAGGCGAGGGGAUGGCGUUACCCUUGUAUUGGAUACCAUGGAGGAUGUCAUAUAUCGCAGAGAGCGCAUUACACUUCAGCCCUUAAAGAAGAAAUUGAAAAUCUAUGUGUGGCUAUCUCAAUGACCAAGGUUACCCUAACAGCAGAUUGCCUUACUAAUAAAUGUCUGGAAGCUAAUUGCCACCACUUUGAGCAGCUCUUGUAAUUGUAGAAGCCAAAGGCCCCGCUGCGACCUGAACUCCAACCUGAGAGCCAGAGCUGUCCUGGGAUUCACACACAUGCCAAUGAGCUAAAUAGUCUAUGUCUGGGAGAGUGGGGCAUAAUAAUUCAGACUUAAUGGUACCUAGGAGUACAGUGUGCCAGAGAGAUUCAGCUUUACAAGCCAUCCCCUCAAUCCGCCCUUUACUAAUAUCCUUUUAGGAGGUAUCUUCAAGCCAUUCCAGUUCUUGUUUUCUUUUAUUUUUUUUUUUGAGACGGUCUCAAUGUAUUGCCCAGGCUGAUUUUGAACUCAGAAUGUACCUAUUAUACAGCCUCCUGAGAUCACAAGUGUGUACCACCAUGCCUGGUUUCAGAUUUUUUUUUGAGACAGGGUCUCACUAUGUAGCUCAGGCUGGCCUUGAACUCACUGCAGUUGUCUUGCCUCAGCAUCCUGAACAUUGGGAUUACAGACAUGGGCCACCAUGCCUGGCCCUACUUCCUACUAUCUUUUAUUUUGCUCUUUACUUAUAAUUUGGGUUUCUUGUAUAAGAGAAACCAUGUAAUAUUGAAGCUUGAGAAUGGCCUGGGCUCCAUUCUUAGCAUUGUAAAAUAAAUCACUAAAUCAGGGAGGAAGAUCCUGUAUCAUUGAUACUCAAGGCAUGGCAAAAGAACACAUGUGAGCAAGGAGGAGAUGUGGCAAACCUAAUUCAGUAGUCCUCUGGAGGGAAGUAAACUUUGACAAUGCAGGAAGAAUGCCAUGAGGCCUGGAGCAACACUUUCCCUCUCUCCAUUUUCUUUUCCACUAUGUAGACCCCAGAAGGCUUCUGAAUAGCUGGCUUUCCUCUACUGGGAGGAAGUUGGUCCCAUCCCUGGUUGCAGCACAAAGCUCCAAAUUUAGGAAAUUGGGGAAAGGAGUCCGCUAUAUUCUGUUUGGGACACCAGGUGGCGCCAAAUCAUAACCCAUUUGGAAAUGGACCUUGAGAGCCCUUGAACCAUUUUCCUCCCCUCCCCUCCCCAUCAUGGAAUUGAAAAAUAAGAAGUCUUUCAGAUAUGGUGGAUAACUCUCCUUCAGUUAAGAUUCUUAAAUCCUUAAUCCAGAGCCACUUCCAGAUGCAGAUUCCUAGGAUUUAAAUAUGGCCUUAGUCUCUGUCUUUCCUAGAGACUUAUUUCUCAACUUCAGAUAAAGGAAAAGGUAAUUUUCCUGGAGCCUUUCUAGAUACUUCCACCUGAAGAGUUGUUAUUCUUCAAGGCAGUCAUUUGAAUAAUACCAGACAGGAGGCCUAGAAGGUUCUGCUGAAAUUCUGCCCCCUCCCCAGUAUGUUGGUUGCUCUAUAAUAAGCAUUCUGGGUGUGACCGUAUCUAAAACUGAUGUGAAGUGGCCACCAGCCUCACUGCCUCUUCCAGUGAGAUGUUUGCUAGCCUUCCAAUGGGCUUCAUUAACUCCCAUUCCUAGGAUCUUUUACCUGGGAUGCUUUUAUUCUGUCAGUCAUUUCUGUUUGUCAAACUGUCUAGUAUGUUGGGGACACACAUCAGACUCCAAGAAGCUAUUUUCGUGUUCCCCAGUCUGAGGGAUCACCCAUUCUUUUGAAUGACUAUAACAAAGUGUGCUGUUUGCCUUCUACUUUAUAUUAUGGCUAUUUGUGAACAUAUCUCCCUUAUAAAAUUUUGAGCUCCCUGAGGCC